UUUCAUUCUUGUUGCCCAGGCUGGAGUGCUGUGGUGCAAUCUCUGUUCACUGCAACCUCCUCCUCCCGGGUUCAAACGAUUCUCCUGCUUCAACCUCCUGGGUAGCUGGGAUUACAGGCACCCACCACCACGCCCAGCUAAUUUUUGUAUUUUUAGUACAGAUGGGGUUUCAUCAUAUUGGUCAGGCUGGUCUCAAAUUCCUGACCUCAGGUGAUCCACCCACUUUGGCCUCCCAAAGUGCUGGGAUUACAGGCAUGAGCCACCGCGCCUAGCCUUGGGGCCUCUGUUUUUUGUGUGUGUUGAGAGGGCUGUAGAAAGGUUUUCACCAGGUCAAGACUGAGAAGUUGCAGGACCACGUUCUGGACCCAGGGCUCUGGCGGGCUUCACCCGGUGUCUUCACACCUCUAUCCCUAAUGCCUCACCAGCGCCCUCUAUUGAGAAUUCUUGGCAUUGUGCUCACUUUUUUUUUUUUUUUUUUUUUUUUUUUCUGGCGUAACGAGACUUUACUGAAAACAGAAAACCGGGCGAACCAAGGAUUACAAACAGGAAUGUGGACUCGUAGCAAAACAAAACAAAACAGAAAAAGGAGGGGGGACCGGUCGAAAGAACCGAAGGGGGAAGCGAGAUCGAGGAAAGGGGCGGAGAAUUUUUUUUCUUCUUCCCAUUUCUUUAAAAAACCAACACAAGAAAACACACACACACACAACCAACGUUUGUUCCCAAGUAGAAACAUAAAUAGGGCAGAAUCGAACACUCUGUUCUUCUCUCUUCCAAAGGAAAAAAAAAAAAAAGUUAAAGGAAAAGAAAGGCUGGGUUUGAGGCUGCGCCCCCUCGGAGCCCCCUUCCGCUGCGCGGUGUACAAGGUGGCAGCCGAGACGCGCGGGUUUGUGCAACACAGGGCGGCCGCGCGGGGGACAGAGGCAGCGCGAGGGCGGGGGGUCAUGCGCUCGCCCCCCCGGGAGCAGGGGGUCCAGCUUGUCGAGUCCGGGGCGCCCCUUCCGAGUCCUGGGCACCCUCGGGGGGGAUCCCCGGGGGCCGCGCCCUCUCUGAAUUCCUGGGCACACUCGGGGGAAGGGGGGUCCCCAGGGCGGCACCCUCUCCAAGUCCGGGGCGCCCACGACACCCCCCCGCGAGCCCGCCCCUCGGGGAGGGUGGCCGCGCAUGCGCCCCGCGCGCGGACUCAGUACGCGGGCACCUGGUGCUGGGGCAGCAGCUGGCAGCCGCUGUUGACGUGGCUGAGGACUUUCUGCUUGAGCUGCGCCACCUGCUCGCGCAGCAGGCUUGCAGUGGACGCCAGCUCCGUGUUCUGGCUCUUAAGGGUCUUCACUUUCUCCUCCAGGCGCGAGAUGCGCUCCAGCUUGCGCUUGCGGCACUUGGAGGCGGCGAUGCGGUUGCGCAGCCGCUUGCGCUCCGCCUUGAUGCGCUCCUGCGUGUCCAUGUCGAUGGGUGACAGCGGCGGGCUCUCACCGAAGCUCGGCACGUCGGGCACCGUCUGUGGUUCGUCCUUGAGCGCAGCCAGGCGCGGCGGCCCCAACGCGCCCGGGGGUGGCGGCGGCGGGAAGGGCACGGGUUCGGCGGCGAAGGCGACCGUCCCGGCGCCCCCCGCGCCCCCGGCGCCGCCCGCGUAGCUACUCAGGUUCGCGUAGACGGGCGCCUCGGGCGCGGCCGCCGCCGGGGCCAGCUCGCCGGGGGGCGCGGAGCC
ensembl:lncRNA